UACGUAGGGUCCGAGCGUUGUCCGGAAUUACUGGGCGUAAAGAGCUCGUAGGUGGUUUGUCGCGUUGUUCGUGAAAACUCACAGCUCAACUGUGGGCGUGCGGGCGAUACGGGCAGACUUGAGUACUGCAGGGGAGACUGGAAUUCCUGGUGUAGCGGUGGAAUGCGCAGAUAUCAGGAGGAACACCAGUGGCGAAGGCGGCGACCUGGACAGAUAUUGACGCUGAGGUGCGAAAGCGUGGGGAGCAAACAGG
rnacentral:rRNA from 1 species